UACGUAGGGUGCAAGCGUUGUCCGGAAUUAUUGGGCGUAAAGAGCUCGUAGGCGGUCCGUCACGUCGGCUGUGAAAACCCGGGGCUCAACUCCGGGCCUGCAGUCGAUACGGGCGGACUAGAGUACUGCAGGGGAGACUGGAAUUCCUGGUGUAGCGGUGAAAUGCGCAGAUAUCAGGAGGAACACCAAUGGCGAAGGCAGCUUGCUGGGACGGUACUGACGCUGAGACGCGAAAGCGUGGGGAGCAAACAGG
rnacentral:rRNA from 1 species